UUAUUCUCCAUAUUCCUCUAACUCUUAUCACUCAAUAUUGAAUAUCGUAUCACGAAACUAUUCUAUAUUAUUUCUAAAAUUCUCCCUUUUAUAAUGCAGAAAUCUUUACGACAAUCAAAUUACCGACAUCAGUGAUGGAUCGUUUGCGAAUCUCUACAAUUUAAAAGAAUUAUCUCUUUCCUACAAUCAAAUUACCGACAUCAAAGAUGGAUCGUUUGCAAAUCUCUACAGUUUAGAAAGAUUAAAUCUUGCCGGGAAUCAAAUUACAGACAUCAGUGAUGGAGCGUUUGCAAAUCUCUACAAUUUGACAACAUUAUAUCUUUACGGCAAUCAAAUUCAAGACAUCAGUGAUGUAUCGUUUGCAAAUCUCUACAGUUUAGAAAAAUUAAAACUUAACCGGAAUCGAAUUACGGAGAUCAAAGUUGGAUGGUUUGCAAAUCUCUACAAUUUAAAAGAAUUGUAAGUUGCCUCUGUUUUCUUCAGACUCUUUCACUCACGAUAUAAUUCUCAAUGUUUAAUAUUAAAUAAUUUGCCGAUUUU